CUGACACAGGUGCUGCAUGGCUGUCGUCAGCUCGUGUCGUGAGAUGUUGGGUUAAGGUCCGUAACGAGCGCAACCCUUGUCCUUAGUUACCAGCACGUUAUGGUGGGCACUCUAAGGAGACUGCCGGUGACAAACCGGAGGAAGGUGGGGAGUGACGUCAAGUCAUCAUGGCCCUUACGGCCUGGGCUACACACGUGCUACAAUGGUCGGUAUAAAGGGUUGCCAAGCCGCGAGGUGGAGCUAAUCCCAUAAAACCGAUCGUAGUCCGGAUCGCAGUCUGCAACUCGACUGCGUGAAGUCGGAAUCGCUAGUAAUCGUGAAUCAGAAUGUCACGGUGAAUACGUUCCCGGGCCUU
rnacentral:rRNA from 1 species